GUGUUGUAUGAAAGGAGAGAAGGUUAGCACUCCCCUUGACAAAGAUGGAAGAGGCCCUCAGGCCUUACAACCGCGUAUGGUUAAGGCAUUGCUACCUACUGUGUAGCAUCGAACAAUGGUUUUUC